CAUCACCAUGCCGCAGCCAAGAUGGAGCUGGGAGGGAAUUACUGAAAGAAUGUCCCAAACACAAAAUUCUAGAUUCUCUACUGAAGGCAUAUAGGUACACACAGAUCUUAGUUGGAAGACCAUCCGCCAUCGUCUCCGCCGACUUUUUGCCGGAAGACCAUCAGUCGUCACCUAGACCUACUUCGCCGCAGCCCAUUCAUUCGUCACCUGCCAUAGAGCAUAGUGCUCCUUGCUAUACGGCGGACCUGGUGAAACUGUGCAAAUAAUUAACAAACCAAACCCCACCUGGAUAGUGCUACAGAUUUGCUUAGUGGGCAGGAAUAACUGGAGUACUAUUUCUUCUUUAAGGGCGUAUUUCGGAGGGGAGCAUACACAUUACCUUGAUUGAGUUGAGUUUCGUGUUCUGCAUUACUGUUAUAAGUUACCAGCAGCAAAGAAAGAGAGUCAUGUACUAAUAGCUGAUAAGGACAAGUGUACCGAGUAAUAGCAGCA